ACCGGGAUAGCUCAGCUGGUAAGAACAUGGUGUUGAUAACACCAAGGUUGUAGGUUUGAUCCUCCUCGUGUGCU